GUGAGGAAUUUUCCGCAAUGGGCGAAAGCCUGACGGAGCAAUGCCGCGUGAAGGAUGAAGGCCUAUGGGUUGUAAACUUCUUUUCUCAGAAAAGAAUUAUGACGGUAUCUGAGGAAUAAGCAUCGGCUAACUCUGUGCCAGCAGCCGCGGUAAGACAGAGGAUGCAAGCGUUAUCCGGAAUGAUUGGGCGUAAAGCGUCUGUAGGUUGUUUAAAAAGUAUUCUGUCAAAGAUUAGGGCUUAACCCUAGAUAGGCAGAAUAAACUUUUAAGCUAGAGUUUGGUAGAGGCAGAGGGAAUUCCCGGUGGAGCGGUGAAAUGCGUAGAUAUCGGGAGGAACACCAAAGGCGAAGGCACUCUGCUGGGCCAAUACUAACACUGAGAGACGAAAGCGAGGGGAGCAAAUGGGAUUAGAAACCCCGGUGGUCC
rnacentral:rRNA from 1 species